UGGGGAAUAUUGGACAAUGGGCGCAAGCCUGAUCCAGCCAUUCCGCGUGUGUGAAGAAGGCCUUCUGGUUGUAAAGCACUUUAAGCGAGGAGGAGGCUACUUUAGUUAAUACCUAGAGAUAGUGGACGUUACUCGCAGAAUAAGCACCGGCUAACUCUGUGCCAGCAGCCGCGGUAAUACAGAGGGUGCAAGCGUUAAUCGGAUUUACUGGGCGUAAAGCGCGCGUAGGCGGCUAAUUAAGUCAAAUGUGAAAUCCCCGAGCUUAACUUGGGAAUUGCAUUCGAUACUGGUUAGCUAGAGUAUGGGAGAGGAUGGUAGAAUUCCAGGUGUAGCGGUGAAAUGCGUAGAGAUCUGGAGGAAUACCGAUGGCGAAGGCAGCCAUCUGGCAUAACACUGACGCUGAGGUGCGAAAGCAUGGGGAGCAAACAGG
rnacentral:rRNA from 1 species